AACGAACGCUGGCGGCAGGCCUAACACAUGCAAGUCGAGCGAGGACUUCGGUCCUAGCGGCGGACGGGUGAGUAACGCGUGGGAACGUGCCCUUUGGUACGGAAUAGCCCCGGGAAACUGGGAGUAAUACCGUAUGGUGUCUUCGGACUAAAGAUUUAUCGCCAAAGGAUCGGCCCGCGUUGGAUUAGGUAGUUGGUGGGGUAAUGGCCUACCAAGCCGACGAUCCAUAGCUGGUUUGAGAGGAUGAUCAGCCACACUGGGACUGAGACACGGCCCAGACUCCUACGGGAGGCAGCAGUGGGGAAUCUUAGACGAUGGGGGCAACCCUGAUCUAGCCAUGCCGCGUGAGUGAUGAAGGCCCUAGGGUUGUAAAGCUCUUUCAGCUGGGAAGAUAAUGACGGUACCAGCAGAAGAAGCCCCGGCUAACUCCGUG
rnacentral:rRNA from 1 species